AUGCACGUUUGUGAAAAACGCGUUUGUUUUGUAAAACCGUGUGAUUCCGUAGUGUCGUUCCAAGAACGUGCAUUUAGCUAGCGUGCAACUAUAUUGUUCCUAAUCAAGGAAUAGCUCAUCAGUUUCUAGUUUAAACGUAGCUAAACUACGUGUCCGAUUGACCGUGUUUGACCCGACAGUUGACUGCCGUUGCCUAAGAUUUGUCCGGUUGACGUGUUGACCCGAAAACUCAAACCGAAACCAGUUGACCGAUUCGAACAAAAUCUGACCGUUGACUCGAACUGAACCUGUGUUGACCCGAGUUGAUUCAGGUUUGACUCAGUCAACCCGGUGUUGACUGCGUUUGACCCGUUGACCGAACACCAUUUUUGACCCGAUUACUCGAACAAAUCUGAAGUGAACCAAGACUGACCAAGCCGUGACCCAGGACAAAACCCGAACCAGAACGGUUGUUGCCGUGUCUCACCACCACCACCAUGUCAAGCGGCUGACGAUAAUCUCCACCCGAACGGAACGGAACGUCACCGGAAAAGCUCGUUGGCAAAGUGCCUUACCACCGCCAUCAUCUUCGUCGGAGAUUCAUUGUCACUCAGCAUCAUCAUCUUCCUGAAACGUCAUCAUCAUUGCCAACUACCAUCCGCAACCCACCUCCUCCGCCGCUGAGACACCGCGUCGCUGCCGCCAUGUGCGACGGCUUUCAUUUUGCUUCAGAUCUACAAGUGUGAGAGGGGGGGGGGGUCGUCUGCUGGAAACAAUCCACCACCGGUUGGUUAACCGGCUUCGAUCAUCGGUUUUGAGCGGCGAGGAGAGAGACCGAGAGGAGGGGGUAUGGCUGAGGUCGAAAGUGUUUGAGGCAGAUGAAUGUUACAUCUUGAAUGGGUUUUGAAAAGAUGAAGUCUUUAUGCAUUUGUGUGUGU
rnacentral:lncRNA from 1 species